GCCCCUAUAGCUCAAUUGGCAGAGCAAUUGACUCUUAAUCAAUAGGUUCUUGGUUCGAUUCCAAGUGGGGGCA
rnacentral:tRNA from 1 species